UGGCGGCGUGCCUAAUACAUGCAAGUCGAACGAACUCUGGUAUUGAUUGGUGCUUGCAUCAUGAUUUACAUUUGAGUGAGUGGCGAACUGGUGAGUAACACGUGGGAAACCUGCCCAGAAGCGGGGGAUAACACCUGGAAACAGAUGCUAAUACCGCAUAACAACUUGGACCGCAUGGUCCGAGUUUGAAAGAUGGCUUCGGCUAUCACUUUUGGAUGGUCCCGCGGCGUAUUAGCUAGAUGGUGGGGUAACGGCUCACCAUGGCAAUGAUACGUAGCCGACCUGAGAGGGUAAUCGGCCACAUUGGGACUGAGACACGGCCCAAACUCCUACGGGAGGCAGCAGUAGGGAAUCUUCCACAAUGGACGAAAGUCUGAUGGAGCAACGCCGCGUGAGUGAAGAAGGGUUUCGGCUCGUAAAACUCUGUUGUUAAAGAAGAACAUAUCUGAGAGUAACUGUUCAGGUAUUGACGGUAUUUAACCAGAAAGCCACGGCUAACUACGUGCCAGCAGCCGCGGUAAUACGUAGGUGGCAAGCGUUGUCCGGAUUUAUUGGGCGUAAAGCGAGCGCAGGCGGUUUUUUAAGUCUGAUGUGAAAGCCUUCGGCUCAACCGAAGAAGUGCAUCGGAAACUGGGAAACUUGAGUGCAGAAGAGGACAGUGGAACUCCAUGUGUAGCGGUGAAAUGCGUAGAUAUAUGGAAGAACACCAGUGGCGAAGGCGGCUGUCUGGUCUGUAACUGACGCUGAGGCUCGAAAGUAUGGGUAGCAAACAGGAUUAGAUACCCUGGUAGUCCAUACCGUAAACGAUGAAUGCUAAGUGUUGGAGGGUUUCCGCCCUUCAGUGCUGCAGCUAACGCAUUAAGCAUUCCGCCUGGGGAGUACGGCCGCAAGGCUGAAACUCAAAGGAAUUGACGGGGGCCCGCACAAGCGGUGGAGCAUGUGGUUUAAUUCGAAGCUACGCGAAGAACCUUACCAGGUCUUGACAUACUAUGCAAAUCUAAGAGAUUAGACGUUCCCUUCGGGGACAUGGAUACAGGUGGUGCAUGGUUGUCGUCAGCUCGUGUCGUGAGAUGUUGGGUUAAGUCCCGCAACGAGCGCAACCCUUAUUAUCAGUUGCCAGCAUUAAGUUGGGCACUCUGGUGAGACUGCCGGUGACAAACCGGAGGAAGGUGGGGAUGACGUCAAAUCAUCAUGCCCCUUAUGACCUGGGCUACACACGUGCUACAAUGGAUGGUACAACGAGUUGCGAACUCGCGAGAGUAAGCUAAUCUCUUAAAGCCAUUCUCAGUUCGGAUUGUAGGCUGCAACUCGCCUACAUGAAGUCGGAAUCGCUAGUAAUCGCGGAUCAGCAUGCCGCGGUGAAUACGUUCCCGGGCCUUGUACACACCGCCCGUCACACCAUGAGAGUUUGUAACACCCAAAGUCGGUGGGGUAACCUUUUAGGAACCAGCCGC
rnacentral:rRNA from 2 species